rnacentral:rRNA from 1 species
AACGAACGCUGGCGGCAGGCCUAACACAUGCAAGUCGAGCGAGAUCUUCGGAUCUAGCGGCGGACGGGUGAGUAACGCGUGGGAAUAUGCCCUUCUCUACGGAAUAGCCUCGGGAAACUGGGAGUAAUACCGUAUACGCCCUUAGGGGGAAAGAUUUAUCGGAGAAGGAUUAGCCCGCGUUGGAUUAGGUAGUUGGUGGGGUAAUGGCCUACCAAGCCUACGAUCCAUAGCUGGUUUGAGAGGAUGAUCAGCCACACUGGGACUGAGACACGGCCCAGACUCCUACGGGAGGCAGCAGUGGGGAAUCUUAGACAAUGGGGGCAACCCUGAUCUAGCCAUGCCGCGUGAGUGAUGAAGGCCUUAGGGUUGUAAAGCUCUUUCAGCUGGGAAGAUAAUGACGGUACCAGCAGAAGGAGCCCCGGCUAACUACGUGCCAGCCGCCGCAGUAAAAC